AUACGAAGGGGGCUAGCGUUGUUCGGAAUUACUGGGCGUAAAGCGCGCGUAGGCGGACUGAUCAGUUGGGGAUGAAAUCCCAGGGCUUAACCCUGGAACUGCCUCCAAUACUGUCAGUCUUGAGUUCGGGAGAGGUGAGUGGAAUUCCUAGUGUAGAGGUGAAAUUCGUAGAUAUUAGGAAGAACACCAGUGGCGAAGGCGGCUCACUGGCCCGAUACUGACGCUGAGGCGCGAAAGCGUGGGGAGCAAACAGGAUUAGAUACCCUAGUAGUCC
rnacentral:rRNA from 1 species